GUAGGUGGCAAGCGUUGUCCGGAAUUAUUGGGCGUAAAGCGCGCGCAGGCGGUUCUUUAAGUCUGAUGUGAAAGCCCACGGCUCAACCGUGGAGGGUCAUUGGAAACUGGAGAACUUGAGUACAGAAGAGGAAAGCGGAAUUCCACGUGUAGCGGUGAAAUGCGUAGAGAUGUGGAGGAACACCAGUGGCGAAGGCGGCUUUCUGGUCUGUAACUGACGCUGAGGCGCGAAAGCGUGGGGAGCAAACAGGGAUUAGAUACCCUGGUAGUCCACGCCGUAAACGAUGAGUGCUAAGUGUUAGAGGGUUUCCGCCCCCCUUAGUGCUGCAGCUAACGCAUUAAGCACUCCGCCUGGGAGUACGGCCGCAAGGCUG
rnacentral:rRNA from 1 species